GCUGGCUACCAGGAGGAAAGGACCUUGAAAUCCACUCUGCUGGAGUUUUGUAAGUGAGCCCAGGAUACAGCAAUCUAAACAUCACAGUUAAACUUGGAACGCCUCAAACUCUACAACCAUUCAUCUGGGCAAAACAGUUUGCACUGAAUAGACUUGGCAGAAACUAUCUCAGCCUACAACAUGGCACCACUCACUUGAUUCAAUAGCAUCCAGUUUCUGGAACGUCCACACAAUAUCACCAUCGAGUACCUUGGGUAAGAAAUCCCGCAAUUGCAUAACCUCAGUUGUCAGCCUUUCCAAAUCCCUCCUUCUGACUUGAACGAAGUCCUCAUUGCUUUCAUCCUUCUGAAAUGGGAAACAAAACAACCACCAACAUAAAAACAAACAAGCCUCCUUCCCCCAGAAAAUGACACUGUUUCUGCUUUGAAGUACACUUCUGCUUGCGUCCUUUCUCUCAACAGUAUUGUUCUGCACUACAUCAAUUUAGAAAUUCAUAACCUUAUUUUAAGAGAACUAUUGAGCAAUAAUUUAAAGCAAGUCACUGGGACAGAAAGUCUUUGAGUGUAAUCUGAUUUUUGCCAGUCUGGCCUAAAGCAAAUUGUAUUAUCUUUUUACAUCUGUUUUUUCACCUAAAAUGUGUGCAAUGUACCUCAGAAAGCUGUAAGGAUUAACAUUCACAUGUCUGAGAAUGGUAUACAUAUGAAAAGCUAUUGUUUAGAAACUGUUGUAAAACAUACACUGUAACUCCAUUUUUUUCUUUUUUAAAUUAACUCAAAUAUUUGCAAGAUCCUCAGUUAUCUAGAAAAUGUGUUUUUUUUCAGAGUACUUGACCUUUUGUGAGAAGCAAAAGCUAUUUGUAAUCCAAUCCCACAUAAAAGUAACUCAAUCCCAAAUCAAAACAAGAAGAGCGGAGGUGGAUGCCCCAUCCCUAGAGAUGCUCAAGACAGAUGAGUGUGCUAGAGAAUACAAGAAACCAUCGCCUCAAGGUACAGCCAUCUCCAGUCCAGUCUUCCAAACUCAGGUCAUUAUGGAAUCAGAUUCAUUAAGGUUAGAAAAAACUACUUAAGAUCACCUACUCCAACAUCAACCCAUCACCACCAUGGCCACUGACCAUGAUCCUCAGUGCUACAAUUACCCUUUCCUUGAACACCUCCAGGGACGGUGACUCUGCCACCUACCUGGGCAGCCUGUGCCACUGCAUCACUAU